rnacentral:rRNA from 1 species
GAUGAACGCUGGCGGCGUGCCUAAUACAUGCAAGUCGAGCGAACGGACGAGAAGCUUGCUUCUCUGAUGUUAGCGGCGGACGGGUGAGUAACACGUGGAUAACCUACCUAUAAGACUGGGAUAACUUCGGGAAACCGGAGCUAAUACCGGAUAAUAUUUUGAACCGCAUGGUUCAAAAGUGAAAGACGGUCUUGCUGUCACUUAUCGAUGGAUCCGCGCUGCAUUAGCUAGUUGGUAAGGUAACGGCUUACCAAGGCAACGAUGCAUAGCCGACCUGAGAGGGUGAUCGGCCACACUGGAACUGAGACACGGUCCAGACUACUACGGGAGGCAGCAGUAGGGAAUCUGCCGCAAUGGGCGAAAGCCUGACGGAGCAACGCCGCGUGAGUGAUGAAGGUCUUCGGAUCGUAAAACUCUGUUAUGAGGGAAGAACAUAUGUGUAAGUAACUGUGCACAGCUUGACGGUACCUAAUCAGAAAGCCACGGCUAACUACGUG